AUAAUAGUUAAAAGUAUAUUCUAGAUCCAACUCAAAAAAAGAGAGAUGAAAAAUGCAAUGAUAAAGACAAAGUUCAUAAGAUCAAUUUGAUCAGAUGAUUAUGAUUGAAAAAGCAAUUGGCUCUUCUAACCACUAAAUCAUGAGGGAAAAACUUAAGAGGAACUGUAAAAAAUGAGAGAGUAGAAAAAAGAGGUGUGGUUGUUCGUCAUCUUUUUCGUCACGACGCUUAACGUGUUUUGUUUUUGUUUUUCUUUUCGUUAGUCUUAAAAAAACCCGUUUUCUAAUUAAUUUGCCUUUCUUUUUUCUAUCUUCUUCUUUCUGAAAUUUUAAUUUUAAUUUUUUUUUUUUUUUUUUUUUUUUUGCAUGAGUGAAUGAAGGGAAGCAAACGGAGAGGGAUAUGCUUUUAAUUAUAUGUGUGGAGGCGGUGAAAAAGGUAUUGAUAAAAUCACCUCGACCGGAACAUCAGUCCGAGCAUCAACGACGUUGAGCCUCCAUUUCCGCCCUUCGCCGAACGCGUCUCCGGAGCCACCCCAAAGAUUCCAACCUCCAAUCUCCUCAUCAGAGCAACCUUCGUAUUGGAUACUAACAACUCUAGUGUUGAAUCUGAUGUGCUUCAACAAUCCGAAAUGUUGGGCAUAAGAACUAAGGUAAUCUAGCACUUGAUCAUACCUCGGAAAUUCUUCGGUUACCGAUUUCGGCCAAGGGAAAUCGGAGAAUUGAAACAUCUCUUUUGGGGUUUGCAGCACCGUCGUCUGCAGCGUCUUUGUCCACACGCCGCCAAUCUCACCUCUGGCCUCCAACACAACCGGAAUCAAUCCUUUGGAUAGAACAAAUUUGCAGGCCGCUAGACCGCUUAUUCCAGCUCCGAUUAUGCCCACUUUUUUGGGUUCCAUCGUCUCCAAUUUCCCUUGAAAACACAAGUAAGGCGGCAAAAACCAAAAUCCUAAACUUGUAGUUUAUUUCUUUAAUAAAUACACUGAUUCAGCCUUGGAGGGCUCCGGUUGCUGAUUGUGUGUUUGUGGCACACACCACCGCUUUAAUAAAUAUGGGAUUGAAAAUUCUUUUUAUUUUUAUUUUAUAAAGAAUCGGAAUUUUUCUUUUC